rnacentral:rRNA from 1 species
CACGUAGGGUGCGAGCGUUAAUCGGAAUUACUGGGCGUAAAGCGUGCGCAGGCGGUUCGUUAAGUCAGCUGUGAAAGCCCCGGGCUUAACCUGGGAAUGGCGGUUGAAACUGGCGAACUUGAAUCUGGCAGAGGGGGGUGGAAUUCCACGUGUAGCAGUGAAAUGCGUAGAUAUGUGGAGGAACACCGAUGGCGAAGGCAGCCCCCUGGGUCAAGACUGACGCUCAUGCACGAAAGCGUGGGGAGCAAACAGG